GACGAACGCUGGCGGCGUGCUUAACACAUGCAAGUCGAACGGACAGACAGAGAGCUUGCUCUCUUGAAGUUAGUGGCGAACGGGUGAGUAACGCGUAAUCAACCUGCCCUUCAGAGGGGGAUAACAACGGGAAACCGUUGCUAAUACCGCGUACGAUUCAUGAACGGCAUCGUUUAUGAAUGAAAGGUGGCCUCUAUGUAUAAGCUAUCGCUGAAGGAGGGGAUUGGGUCUGAUUAGCUAGUUGGAGGGGUAACGGCCCACCAAGGCAAUGAUCAGUAGCCGGUCUGAGAGGAUGAACGGCCACAUUGGGACUGAGACACGGCCCAAACGCCUACGGGAGGCAGCAGUGGGGAAUCUUCCGCAAUGGACGAAAGUCUGACGGAGCAACGCCGCGUGAGUGAUGAAGGUCUUCGGAUUGUAAAGCUCUGUUAAUCGGGACGAAAGAGUUCUGCGUGAAUAAUGCAGAAAAGUGACGGUACCGGAAUAGAAAGCCACGGCUAACUACGUGCCAGCCGCCGCAGUAA
rnacentral:rRNA from 1 species